rnacentral:lncRNA from 1 species
CUAUUUUGAAUAAAGAGUUAGACUUUGCUUGACUGACUGUUCAUAUGCAGCAGGUGGAAAAGAAGAAUAAAAAGAUUGUUGAAUCUAGAGAGGGACAGAUAGGCUAAGAGAGCUAGAUCUAUAGACCAGCACCAGUUUCAGUUGUAGAGUGGUAACUGGGGUAAUAAGUGGUCGAAGAAGAAGAAGUUUUAGAAUAAUGCA